AUUGAACGCUGGCGGCAGGCUUAACACAUGCAAGUCGAACGAGUGGCGGACGGGUGAGUAAUGCUUGGGAAUCUAGCUGAUGGAGGGGGAUAACUACGGGAAACUGUAGCUAAUACCGCGUACCAUAGGAUGAGCCCACGUGGGAUUAGGUAGUUGGUGGGGUAAAGGCUAACCAAGCCGACGAUCCCUAGCUGGUCUGAGAGGAUGACCAGCCACACGGGGACUGAGCAACGGCCCAGACUCCGCCGGGAGGCAUCAGUGGGGAAUAUUGCACAAUGGGGGCAACCUGACGCAGCCAUGCCGCGUGAAUGAAGAAGGCCUUCGGGUUGUAAAGUUCUUUCGGUAGGGAGGCGUUACCUACAGAAGAAGCACCGGCUAACUCCGUGCCAGCAGCCGCGGUAAUAC
rnacentral:rRNA from 1 species